rnacentral:lncRNA from 1 species
CAAGGUCUCCAAAAAGGGUGGGUAGUCUGAACUGUAGUUUGGUGCAUAAGCACAGACCACAGUCAGAACCCGUCCCCCCACACGUAGGCGGAGGGAGGCUACCCUCUCAUUCACUGGGAUAAACCCCAACGUACAGGCACCAAGAUGGGGGGCAACUAGUAUGUCCACCACUGCUCUGCGCCUCUCAGUGGGAGCAACUCCAGAGUGGUAGAAAGUCCAACCCCUCUCAAGGAAACUGGUUCCAGAGCCAGAGCCAUGUGUUGAGGUGAGUCCGACUACAUCUAGUCGGAACCUCUCAGCCUCACACACCAACUCAGGCUCCUUCCCCACCAGAGAGGUGACAUUACAUGUGCCAAGAGCCAGCUUCUGUAGCCAAGGAUCAGACCACCAAGGUCCCCGCCAUCAACUACCAGGAUCGACAUCCGGAAACUUUCAAAAUAAAAGUCAUGUGCAGUAUGUCAUUUCCCGUUAAACCGCCGUAGCCGAUGUAAACAGGACAGAAAAUAGACCAUGGACCUUUUUGGAUACACGCAGCUGUCCUUCUCCUUGCUUGUUAUUGUGUGGACUAAUCAGCAUCCUGAUGUGCCACACCUGUGAGAGAGAUCAUGUCAGCUAUGCUCAAAAACCCAGAUUUAGACUAACUAGUGAAGUUUAUCUGAGUGAGCAAGGUCCUUGAUAUGCAUAGCUAAUAACGUGUUCAUUAGUUUGUUUGUUAUUUGUGCAGAAUGAACGAAAACUAUUCCAGCACAAUAUUUAGAACACUAAGUCACAUAGCCCUGUAAUCAUUUGAUCAGUGUAGCUUUGACACCCACAAACUCAGGAAAUGGCUCAUCUUUCAUGUGACUGACUCAUCGUGCUUCUAGACAUCAGUAAGCGCUCCCUACCAUAAGAGAUGAGUGUGUUUCAGGUGAAAGGGUGCCUGUCAUCAGCCAUCAGGGCUGUCUUCAUCACCGAGUUUCUGCUGAUGAGUGUGAGGGCAGAUGGCUCAGAGUCAGAAGAACUAGACAUUAAGUACGUUCUGAUUGGAGGUGGGAUUGGCUUGUUCCUCGCUGCCAUUUUUCUCAUCACAAAGUUCUACAUCAUGAGGAAGCAGGCGCGGGAUACCUGCACAGAAAAUAACACAAGGAGACCUUCAGAGCCUCACUUAUUUCUGAGUCGGGUCAGCCACUCAGAACCGCCCUCCAUGUCCAACGAGGUGUGAGUCGAAAGGUCAGCUGGAUUACAGAGCAGCAUCUGGGUUCAGAAGUCAACUAUCGCCUGUAUUUUUUCACAAACAUCAUCAUUUGAACCAUUACCUUGUGUAACUCGUGUGACUUUCAAUAUUAGUAUGUGUACAAUAAAUUCUGUCUAUCGUUAUUUGGCUGCUGACAGCCACCUUCUGCAUAAAUAUGUAUAAAUAAAAUAUGUGUUUGUAUUGGCAGCUUCUUUUAUUCAUCAGGCAUUCAAUCUACCCACCAACUGCACAGAUCUAAAGCAGCGGGCCGGGGAAUAGUUUGUCCACACGAGGGCAGCAUUCACUUUCUACAAAACCAUUUUGUCUUCAGAGAAUCAGAGAAAAAGCAAAUGUCCUUCUUGUCUUGACCUGUGGCAGGUCAUCAGGUCUAACAGAAAACGUCUCUUCCUGAGUAACACGCUUUUGUUUUGCAUGCUUUCAUAUGAAUCGACGCAGCAUUUUUUAUUAAAUGGCCUGUAUCUAAAUAGCACCCCCCAAGGUGCUUCACAAGAAAAAAAGGAAGAAAAAACUUUUAUACAGCGCCUCUCAAGAUAAAAAUCAAGAGAUGCUUCACAAAAACAAAAAAUUGUUACAUAAAAAGGAUUUCACAAAAAUGAUUAAAAACAUGUUUAAAAUGAGAAGAAAAUAAACGGUGAUUAAAAAAUGUAAGGAAAGGAAAGAGAAAAUGGGACCACAGCAGCAGACGAUCUGUCACCUUUGGUCUUCAGCCUGGUGCUGCACAACCACUAGACUUUGGUCACUGGACCUCAGGGAUCUGCUGGGGGUGUAGGGACUAAGAAGAUCACCAAUGUAAGAUGGUGCUUGUCCAUGUAAGGCCCUAUAGACCAGAACCAGGAUCUUGAAAUGAACCCCGAAGGUGACUGGCAGCCAGUGAAGCUGGAGGAGAAGCGGGGUGAUGUGGGUGUGUUUGGAGGACUUGGAAGCAUUCAGAACCACCUGUAGACGGUUCAGGGAAGUUCUGCUCAGACACGUGAAAAGAGAGUUGCAGUAGUCUAACCCCUACUGCACACUGGAAGCAUCAGCGGUGCGGAACGGCAGUGGAACGUCACUUCUUCACAUAGAACCCAUUAUAGUCUAUAGUGUCAUAAGCACAGCAUGAGCCACAAUGUAGCCACAGCAGUCCUGGGGUGCGCUAACGGGGGUGGUGUUGUUGUUUAUCCUAUAGCUUUAGCAAUAGUUUUUCAAAUGUAUUUUUGUUUAUGGAAAUCAUCUCAAUAUCCCCUGUGUCCCUCUUGGUGGCCCACUGUAUGUAGCUCCCACUAAACACCACUGGAGGGCGAUAAUAGCCCUUCUCAGUCAUACAAGUCAGGUAAAAACUGAGUUUGUGCAGUGCUGUAGCAACCUGGGGUUAGCACUUUGACUCCACACACCCAUUCCAUGUAACAAUGUUACUUAAAUACAAUUUUAAUUGUGUUUAUAGCAAAAUAAUAUUGAAAAAAAAGACUGUUUGAACUAGUUUCCCUGUUGCCAACACCAGAAAAGCUGUUACAAUUUAUGUUGGAAAAAUGUACAACUGUACAAGUUGUAUAUUUUAUUUUGAAGGAAUCUAUAGCAAGUGGCAAUGGUUAAAGGGACUUUACAGAGUUUUGAAUUUUUAUGCUCGCGAUUGCCCCCUCUGGCCAAAAGCGUAACGGCAGCUUCAAUAGUAGGCUCGUGCACGAGGCGCGCAUGCUGUACGUGCACACUCCUUAACGAAAAUAACAGCUGAGACAGUCCCGUGUGAGUGUGUUUGUGUGGCCCGGAGGACAGAGGACAGGAGAAAGCGCAGCUAAUUAGUUAAAUAAUUUGGUUCUGUACCUUUCUCUUCAGCACAGCCGACAAAGGUUUAUGAUGGGUCAGUCCUCCUGCAUGCUCAGAUCAUUCCCUUCCCUUGCUUGAAAAAUUGUUCCAAAAUGAAAGUUGAACCCACAUCUUUUUUAUC